rnacentral:tRNA from 1 species
GGCUCGGUGGCUGAGCAGUAAAGCGCUUGGCUUCCAGGUGUCCCGGGUUCGAAUCCUGGUGAAGACU